UACAGAGGGUGCGAGCGUUGUUCGGAAUUAUUGGGCGUAAAGGGCGCGUAGGCGGUGCCACAAGUCACUUGUGAAAUCCCCGGGCUUAACUCGGGGCCUGCAGGCGAAACUGUGGUGCUGGAGUAUGGGAGAGGUGCGUGGAAUUCCCGGUGUAGCGGUGAAAUUCGUAGAUAUUCGCAAGAACACCAGUGGCGAAGGCGGCUCACUGGCCCGGUACUGACGCUGAGGCACGAAAGCGUGGGGAGCAAACAGG
rnacentral:rRNA from 1 species